rnacentral:rRNA from 1 species
ACGUAGGUGGCAAGCGUUGUCCGGAUUUAUUGGGUUUAAAGGGUGCGUAGGCGGUUCUUUAAGUCAGUGGUGAAAUACAGCCGCUUAACGGUUGAGGUGCCAUUGAUACUGAAGAACUUGAGUACAGUCGAGGUAGGCGGAAUUGACGGUGUAGCGGUGAAAUGCUUAGAUAUCGUCAAGAACACCGAUAGCGAAGGCAGCUUACUAGGCUGUAACUGACGCUGAGGCACGAAGGUGCGGGGAUCAAACAGGAUUAGAUACCCUGGUAGUCCGCACAGUAAACGAUGGUCACUCGGUGUUGGCGAUACACAGCCAGCGCCUUAGCGAAAGCGUUAAGUGACCCACCUGGGGAGUACGCCCGCAAGGGUG